rnacentral:rRNA from 1 species
CCUACGGGAGGCAGCAGUGAGGAAUAUUGGUCAAUGGCCGUAAGGCUGAACCAGCCAAGUAGCGUGAGGGAAGACUGCCCUAUGGGUUGUAAACCUCUUUUAUGCGGGGAUAAAGGUGUCCACGCGUGGAUGUUUGCAGGUACCGCAUGAAUAAGGACUGGAUAAUUCCGUUCCAGCCGCCGUGGUAAUACGGAAGGUCCGGGCGUUAUCCGGAUUUAAUGGGUUUAAAGGGAGCGUAGGACGGUCUUUAAGCGUGCCGUGAAAUUUUGUGGCUCAAACCUGGGAGUGCGGCGCGAACUGGAGACCUUGAGUGGGCGGAAUGCAGGCGGAAUUCGUGGUGUAGCGGUGAAAUGCUUAGAUAUCACGAAGAACCCCGAUUGCGAAGGCAGCAUGCCGGAGCGUUACUGACGCUGAGGCUCGAAAGCGCGGGUAUCGAACAGGAUUAGAUACCCUUGUAGUC